GACGAACGCUGGCGGCGUGCUUAACACAUGCAAGUCGAACGGAAAGGCCCUGCUUUUGUGGGGUGCUCGAGUGGCGAACGGGUGAGUAACACGUGAGUAACCUGCCCUUGACUUUGGGAUAACUUCAGGAAACUGGGGCUAAUACCGGAUAGGAGCUCCUGCUGCAUGGUGGGGGUUGGAAAGUUUCGGCGGUUGGGGAUGGACUCGCGGCUUAUCAGCUUGUUGGUGGGGUAGUGGCUUACCAAGGCUUUGACGGGUAGCCGGCCUGUGAGGGUGACCGGCCACAUUGGGACUGAGAUACGGCCCAGAGUCCUACGGGAGGCAGCAGUGGGGAAUAUUGCACAAUGGGCGGAAGCCUGAUGCAGCAACGCCGCGUGCGGGAUGACGGCCUUCGGGUUGUAAACCGCUUUCGCCUGUGACGAAGCGUGAGUGACGGUAAUGGGUAAAGAAGCACCGGCUAACUACGUG
rnacentral:rRNA from 1 species